rnacentral:lncRNA from 1 species
CAAAAAACAACCCGCAAAUUUUUCAUGUACCCGUUUCCCUUUAACAAUCGAGAGCAGAGAGCAAAAUGUUACAGCAACUUCACCUUCUUUCUGGCAUUUUACACCUUUUCAUAAAGCUGUACGGUGGAAGACAGUCCAGCUGCUUGUUCAGGCAGUCCUCCGAGGUCGUUUCUAUCUUUCCUUUCAGUUCCACGAUUUCUUUCUUCUGCUUCUCGCGAGCUGCUGUGACCCUAAGCAAC